rnacentral:rRNA from 1 species
UACGUAGGGGGCAAGCGUUGUCCGGAUUUAUUGGGCGUAAAGAGCGUGUAGGCGGCUUUACAGGUCCGUUGUGAAAACUCGAGGCUCAACCUCGAGACGCCGGUGGAAACCGUAAAGCUAGAGUCCGGAAGAGGAGAGUGGAAUUCCUGGUGUAGCGGUGAAAUGCGCAGAUAUCGGGAGGAACACCGGUGGCGAAGGCGGAUCUCUGGGCCUGUCCUGACGCUGAGGCGCGAAAGCUAGGGGAGCGAACAGG